GAUGUUCAAUGAAGGGAAAUGUUUGCGAGUGGACUGGAGGGGCCCAUUCCCUUAAACAUAUCUCUUUUGAAUAUGUUAACUGACUUGAGAAUCAGUGACCUAAAAGGGCCAGCCCAAGAAUUUCCAGUUCUAAGGAGCACUCCGGGCCUUGUAACAUUGAUAUUAAGAAACUGUAA